ACUACAAACCGUGCUAUCGUCUUUCAGACUUGAGCUGAAAGAAGGAAAGUCUGGACAGCGCAGAGCAACGCACCACCUAACGGGUGGGCCUGUUCGCAAGAGCAGGACAGCCAGUGCCACAGAAAAUGACCGCCGGGCAACCGGUAAGGGUGAAAAUGUGGGGUAAGCGCCCACGGUAUAGGCAGGCAACUGUUUAUGCGGGUAAACCUUGCGUGCUGAAAUGCCAUGUAUACGGUCGCUCGAGGGCUGCUCGCCCGAUGACCGAGGGUAGGCAGAUACAGGCGAUGUGCGAGCAUCGUCGUAGAUAAAUGAUAGCAGUUCUCCGGCUUGCCGGAGUUCACAGAAUCCGGCUUACAGGUUUGUAGUUUUU
rnacentral:RNase_P_RNA from 1 species